rnacentral:rRNA from 1 species
GAGGCAGCAGUAGGGAAUCUUGGACAAUGGGCGCGCGUGAUCCAGCCAUGCCGCGUGGGUGAUGAAGGCCCUAGGGUUGUAAAGCCCUUUCGGCGGGGAAGAUAAUGACGGUACCCGCAGAAGAAGCCCCGGCUAACUUCGUGCCAGCAGCCGCGGUAAUACGAAGGGGGCUAGCGUUGCUCGGAAUCACUGGGCGUAAAGCGCACGUAGGCGGCUUCUUAAGUCAGGGGUGAAAUCCCGGAGCUCAACUCCGGAACUGCCUUUGAUACUGGGGAGCUUGAGUCCGGGAGAGGUGAGUGGAACUGCGAGUGUAGAGGUGAAAUUCGUAGAUAUUCGCAAGAACACCAGUGGCGAAGGCGGCUCACUGGCCCGGUACUGACGCUGAGGUGCGAAAGCGUGGGGAGCAAACAGGAUUAGAUACCCUGGUAGUCCACGCCGUAAACGAUGGAUGCUAGCCGUUGGCGGGUUUACCCGUCAGUGGCGCAGCUAACGCAUUAAGCAUCCCGCCUGGGGAGUACGGUCGCAAGAUUAAAACUCAAAGGAAUUGACGGGGGCCCCAAGGUGGAGCAUGUGGUUCAAUUGAAGCAAGCAGCCUAACCAGCCCUUGACAUCCCGGUCGCGGGAACGAGAGAUCGCC